GACGAACGCUGGCGGCGUGCUUAACACAUGCACGUCGAACGGAGUGGCGAACGGGUGAGUAACACGUGGGUGACCUGCCCUUCACUUCGGGAUAAGCCUGGGCAACUGGGUCUAAUACCGGGUAGUGUGGGAUGGGCCCGCGGCCUAUCCGCUUGUUGGUGGGGUAAUGGCCUACCAAGGCGGCGACGGGUAGCCGGCCUGAGAGGGUGGAAGGCCACAUUGGGACUGAGACACGGCCCAGACUCCGACGGGAGGCAGCAGUGGGGAAUAUGGCACAAUGGGCGAAAGCCUGAUGCAGCGACGCCGCGUGGGGGAUGAAGGCUUUCGGGUUGUAAACCUCGUUCGCUAUCGACGGGGUAGGUGGAGAAGAAGCGACGGCUAACUACGUGCCAGCAGCCGCGGUAAUUC
rnacentral:rRNA from 1 species